rnacentral:lncRNA from 1 species
UUACACUGUUCAUGAUACAUGUAUCUGCCAAGUGCCCAGAAUCAGUUGUCCACUUAAUCAUCCUAUACCCUAAACGUAACAAAUCAAACAUCUUAGUAGCUGCACUAUGGUACUUGUAUAUGAGUGAAAAUGACAAACCUUAUCCUAUAUGCAUCAAAUGUGCUCUAUGAUCUAUAAUUUAUUAUGUGUAAAAAUGUUUUAAAAACUCACAAUGUAAUCUAUUUCAUUGAUAACCCAAUAAAUUACAAAUCAUUAUUACUAUGUACAAAAUAGCCACAGUUAAAUCCUCAAUAUUUUGAUUAAUAUCUUUCCAAAACUAUUUGAAUGAAUGUUAAGCACUGGAAAUGAAUUUAGUUAUGGUUUUCUUUCAAAAAUCUCUAAGAGCAGUAGCCGAAAAAAAAAUGGCACAAAACUUCCAUAUGCACAAAAUGACAAUGCGAAUUACACAUAUUAUGGAGCAAUUUUUUGUCCUGUCAGGUUUCAUAACAUUCAGAUGAAAACAACUAGUGCAUUUCGGUCUAUAAACAUUUAGGAUGAACAUGCAGAUUUUCCAGGUAACUAAUCCCAACAAUUACAAAGACAUAUUUAACCUUUUAGUGUAGUGAUAAAGAUAAAUUAAUAAGAAGAGAGAACUGCAAUUUAAACUCUUUCCCUACUUUGACGUAAAUUAUCAUUAAAUACAAGAACAGAUAGAAUGGAAAGAUCUUUUACCACCAUAUGAUUAUAAACACAUAUAUAGAUAUGAUAAAUGGUCAAAUUAAAAAUACAAAAGGUGACAGGGCCCCUAUUGAAAUUUAUUGGGUUAUCUAAGGUAAGAAUUGAUGGAAAAAUAGUUCUGCACUUGUCUUAUUUCAUAUAUACUAAAAUAAUGCAAUGAUUCUAUGAUAAAUUACAAUGUUAACUUUCAAACCAAUGUGGCCAUAAAUUUGUCAAAAGCACCAUUUCAUAUCAAACAUUUUUACUAUUACUUUUAUUCUCCAAUUUUUGCAAUAUUCUUCUACAAACAUGUGUUCUAAUGCAUAGUCAUGAGAGAAAAUGAGGUAAUAUACUGUAUUUAAUUUGAGACAUUAUUUACUUCGGUCAUUUUUUACAAUAUAACAUCUAAGAACUUCUUGCAUAAAACUAAAAAUUUUCAUAUGCAUCUAUUAAAAUAUAAAAGUAUUUAGAGAGGUUCAAAAUCAACAAUGUUCCAAAAUAUUUUUUAUGUAUAUUGAAAGACAUUUGCUAAAGUACAUAAUUUUGUUUUAAAGGUGGAGGUGUUUAAUGUUUGUGUGCAUGAUUUUGUGAUAAAAUAAGCAUUCAUAUAGCAGGAAACAGGUGCUCUUGUUUUUUUUAAUAUGUUUUGUAUACAAGUGUCAAAAUCUUCUAAAAAUUAACAGGAUCUCUUUUGAGGUGUAUUUUGUGAAAUUAUAAAAAGAACAUUGGAGGUUACCGGGCACAUUUUUGGAUAGAUGUUAAAUUGAAACAUUGGAGGAACUAAUGAUAACAAAAAGAUCAUUGAUAAAUCUAGCGGCUCUAACCAACAUUCUUUAAUUAAAAUUAUUAUUCAUGGACCAAAUAUUUGCUCAGGAUGAAAAUGCAAUUCUUACACAAUUUAAUUCCUAAUCUGCAAUAACUAGCUAACUUAAAUCCCAACUAAUGUAAUAGUUUAACAGAUAAAAUGCUCCUAAAAUUUCAGUUUAAAUUUAUACAAUACCAGUCUCUGUGGACGAAAUUUAAAGCACUUUAUUUCCCUAUUGACCUGUAUUAUGUAUAUAUUCAUCCAAAUUCUGAGGUACAGGUUGGUUUUGUGCCAGGUAUAUCAAAAAGGUACUUAGAAAGCUUAAUAACAUAGAGAACUUCUUAAUUUAUAGAUCUUAGAGGGGAGCACACAUUACAUGUUAACCACAAAGGCUUUCAUUUUAAAAUUCAAUGGACAUCAUGGUUUCUGCAAACAUAGAAAAAAAAAUCCCAUGUAUGUCUUGUAACAUCUUCGCUAGCCAAAGCUUGAAGAGAGCGGGAUAGGAUCAUAACCCUUGUCUAGCGAGGAUGGUCUUGAUAUAGGCAAGAUAAUUACUUUCUAGAUGUCUUUUUGAUAUUCUUGUUGUUUGGUUGCUGCCUAACAUAUCUUUUAUUCAUCAUGUUCAUAUUAUGAAAACUUAAAGGGUAUUGGUCAAUACCAUUCGAAAUAAGCAUCUAAAAGCCAUGUGUUUAAAAUAACAUUCAUAAACACAGAAUUGGCAGCAAAAUGCUCCCAAAAAUAAGUUUUUUGAGCAACAAAUCAUCAAAGUUAAUGCAUUUUAAUAUGAGAAAUUUUAAAGACAAAAGUGUACAUUUCUGUUAAAAAUAAAUUAAAUAAAAAAAAAAUUAAAAU